rnacentral:lncRNA from 1 species
GACACCGUCAGUUUCCUCAAGUUCUGUCUAAUUCCACAUAAAUUUGUGUGGGCUCUUUAGGUUGGGAUGGUGAAGAAAUGCCAGUCAGCAGACUGAAAUCACCAUGGUUUGCAGCUGCCAGUUUGCCACUUCACUGGAGAGAUUUUCUGAGAUUCAAGCUGGACAUUUGGUCUGAGUGUCAUCUUAAUGAGAAGGAAAAAUGACUCCACGGUGCUGUGUGGGGUCCCCGUCUCUGCGCAGCAGUCAUGCUCCAGGGAGGGGCUCUGUGGAUCCAGAUGCAGCUGAAACAGAACAACACAAAUGGAAAACGACCUUUUCUGUCUUCUCGGAGAUGUUUUAAGAAGCUCCCUUGAGAGAGGUAGAAGAGAAAUGUGAGAGAGGAGAAUGCGUGAUGGAGGACCUGGGUUAGUCCGCGAGGGAUGGUGAGUGGAGAAGGGGCCAGAAAGAGACUGAACUCAGCGUUACAGCGGCGCCCAGAUGGGAAAACGAAAACCUUUGUGGACAGCAGGUAGCAGCUGCUAAAUAUGUCAGGCUAGAAGGCAGGUGCCUGAGUUAAGGAGUGGUUUUAAAGAAUGAAAUCAAACUGAAGGUGAAAAAUCAGCCCAACCGUUGCCUUUUAUCUUGACCCAGUGAAUAGAACAGGCCUCCCGCUGCAGAAACCCUGGAUCUAACCGUGAUUUUUAUGUAGCUCACUUGAUAUUUAUAGGUGUAGUUCUCUGAAAAAGGAAGGUAUUUUGGAGCCCAAUGGAUUUGAACCCCAGUUUCACUACCACUCUCUUUGAGCAGUUGUGGGUUGAAUAACAUCGAGCAGGAAGACUUGAAUGACAAGUGUGUGCAGCACACACUCUCCAGCCACGGCGGAGAAGCGACCCUGGCCCCUCACACAGCUCUGCCAGGCUUCCUCGGCACACGCAGGUGUUUGGAAGGUGCUGUCCUGCCCAUAUGGUGGCUUCUGAUCGUGGAGAGUCUCCUCAGAAAGGAAACUCGUGAAGACACCACAGCGCAGAGAUGCGUUACCUCAUACUCGGAUCUAAGAGGAGAAACCAGGAGAGCAGCCACUGUGCAAGCUGGAUGGACGGCGACAAAGGGCCAUCAGGACAGACAGACGCAGCAGCCGUGUCUUGUGUCUAUUUACCAUCCUGCGUAGGGGGGAUCUUAGAAAGAAAUAGGCUUUCUAGGCAGAGAAGGGCACUUUUCCUGGUCAUCCUAGGCUGUGAGUGACAAGAGCUCUAGGAAGGAGCACCUCUAGGCUGGCAUUAAACACGUGAACUUCCCUCCCCGUCGUACACAAAUACGUUCAUUCCUAGCGACUCAGAAAGAGAAUCUAAAUAUCACUGUAUUUUCACAGUGAUUAGGAAAGCUUUUGAUCACCACC